rnacentral:lncRNA from 1 species
UGAACUAUCAUCCAAGUGUUAUUCUCCUUCAAUGCUUUGAUUUCUUGUUGCGUAGCUUCCACCCAUCUUGGAUCCUUAACUGCCUCAUCAUAAUUUCUAGGUUCAACCUCACCAGAAAUGUUACUGUGAUAAGCUUGAUACUUGCGCGAUAAUGCAUCAUAUAUAAUGUAAUUGGACAUAGAGAAGGGAUACUCAGGAUCAAUAACAUUAGUCACAUAAUCUUUCAUCCACACAGGAAGAAUAGAAGACCUUGUGAAGUGUCUGGAAGUUCUCUUAAUUGGGACUACAUCAUGAACUACAGGUAGCAGUAUCUUCUGAUUGACCUCUUUAUAAACCAAUGGUAAUGGAUGUCCAGGGGCAUCAACAAGCUCUUGAACAGGAUCAUCCACAUGUUUAUUCUUUUGUAGAUGAUUGAACUCAGAUAUAUCAUGUUGCUCUGAAGUAUCAGUAACUAAAUCCUCUGCACACUUAUCAGUGUCACACUAAGAUCCAGGAAUAUGGGGAAAUAAUGAAG